rnacentral:rRNA from 1 species
UGAGCAAUCUGCCCUUCUCUUCGGAAUAAGCGUGGGAAACCGCGUCUAAUGCCGAAUACGACCUCCUUUCGCAUGAUCGGAGGUGGAAAGCUCCGGCGGAGAAGGAUGAGCUCGCGGCCUAUCAGCUAGUUGGUGUGGGUAAUGGCCCACCAAGGCGACGACGGGUAGCCGGCCUGAGAGGGUGACCCGGCCACACUGGGACUGAGACACGGCCCAGACCUCCCGACGGGAGG